ACUCCUACGGGAGGCAGCAGUGGGGAAUUUUGGACAAUGGGCGCAAGCCUGAUCCAGCAAUGCCGCGUGCAGGAAGAAGGCCUUCGGGUUGUAAACUGCUUUUGUCAGGGAAGAAAUCCUUUGGGCUAAUACCUCGGAGGGAUGACGGUACCUGAAGAAUAAGCACCGGCUAACUACGUGCCAGCAGCCGCGGUAAUACGUAGGGUGCGAGCGUUAAUCGGAAUUACUGGGCGUAAAGCGUGCGCAGGCGGCUUUGCAAGACAGAGGUGAAAUCCCCGGGCUCAACCUGGGAACUGCCUUUGUGACUGCAAGGCUAGAGUACGGCAGAGGGGAUGGAAUUCCGCGUGUAGCAGUGAAAUGCGUAGAUAUGCGGAGGAACACCGAUGGCGAAGGCAAUCCCCUGGGCCUGUACUGACGCUCAUGCACGAAAGCGUGGGGAGCAAACAGGAUUAGAUACCCUGGUAGCUACGAGU
rnacentral:rRNA from 1 species